rnacentral:lncRNA from 1 species
AUGUGUGUGUGUGUGUGUGUGUGUGUGUGUGUGUGUGUGUCUGUGUGUGUAUACUUACAGUCAGACCCUGAUCCCCCAACAGCUACAGCAUUCCUUUCUGCGACGUUUGAAACGUUCGCGACGUAUCAGACGUCUGCAACGUCUGCUAGGUCUGCUACGUUUGAUACAUCCUCUAAGUAUGCUACGUCUGCUACGUCUGCUGCGUCUGCUAGGUCUGCUACGUCUGCUACGUCUGCUAGGUCUGCUACGUCUGCUAGGUCUGCUACGUCUGCAAUCUCUGCCAUUCCUGAAACGUCGGCAACUUCUGCUAAAUUUGAGCCAUAUGCAACGUCUGCGAUGUGCGUACUCCCUCCUCCGCUUUUCCCUCCUAAGUCUGUUACGCCUGCGUUGCAUCUUCCUCCGCCUUGCUUCACGUCUUCUACGUCUGUAAUAGGCCUUCUUCCAGCGCGACAUGGGCCUCUUGACACACCGGUAUUUACAGGUAUAUGGACCCUUGGGUUUGUGUUUGAAGAUGGUACACUUAUCUUGCCUCAUGCUACAUCUGGAAACAGAGAGGAGAUGUGAUCAGAACCAGAACCAGAGGUGGACCGCACACUGCCACGCUGCUCAUCUCUACAUUUGUCCCAUAAUAACCAUGUUAUUGUUGCCCUCAAGCGGACGGAACGUGAAUCAUGUAGAUGUUGUUUUACCUUUUAAGUAUGGCAGCCUCGGUUGUAAAGAAACAACGAGCAGUGUUACGUCCGAUGGUCACCCCAUAACACGGCUUUCUGUCCCUGUAACAGUUCACCUUUACCACCUGGCCACGACCUGGAGGAGAGAGAAGUGUCACACAGUGAAGACUUCGUGUCAUUCGGUCACGAGCUGACAAACAGACUGAACGUAGUCGACGAGGACAGACAGAAAGACGAGUGUGUGUUGACUCACCGCAGGCCAACAGUGUGUACCACUUCCGGACUUUGAUUUGCACUCCCUCUGUGAAGACACACAGGUGAGACUGUGACAUCAUCAUAUCAUCAUUUACAUUUGAUAUUUAUUACCAUUACACAUAUUUCUGUAUUAACACUCAUAAACUGAUCAUAAAAGCUGUAAAAGCACCAGAACAGUAAAUAAUAAUGAUGAUCGAGCAGGAUAAAAACUCACCAGCAUCUCCAGAGAAACACCAAGCUGCAGCCAGCACUGUAACACAACACAGUAACACAACACUGUAACACAACACAGUAACACAACACUGUAACACAACACUGUAACACAACACAGUAGCACAUCAGAGGUCUUUAUUGUGACUCAAAGCUGAGGUGAAGGUGUGAACGUGUCUGGACCCUCUGAGGGUUCAGAACAUCAUCACCUGGGAUCAGUUCACCUUCAGCACCAACAUCAUCAUUAGAAAUGACAACAUACGUGUAGGAAGAAAGUCAGUGACACAUGUGGAGUCACAGAGAGUAACUAAGUACAUGUACUCAGUCAGUCAGUGACACAUGUGGAGUCACAGAGAGUAACUAAGUACAUGUACUCAGUCAGUCAGUGAGUACUGGACUGUAUAAAUGUACUCCACUACAUCUGAGAGGAUACUCACGGCCGAGGACGAUGAGGCUGAGUCGGACCAUGUUGGCUUCUCUCAGCUUCUCUUCUGUCUUCACCUGAAGACCGUCUGAUGCUGAGAGCGUCUCUACGACAGGUAUUUAUGCUUCUCUCCUCGCAGCACACCUGUUGACACCUGUCCGCCGCCGGCGAAGGCAAACAGGACCUGGUGAUUUGACCAACAUGCAAAUCCCCUUUAGAGCUGCAGGGCAGAAGC